rnacentral:rRNA from 1 species
CCUACGGGGGGCAGCAGUGAGGAAUAUUGGUCAAUGGACGAGAGUCUGAACCAGCCAAGUAGCGUGAAGGAUGACUGCCCUAUGGGUUGUAAACUUCUUUUAUAAAGGAAUAAAACGAGGCACGUGUGCCUUUUUGCAUGUACUUUAUGAAUAAGGAUCGGCUAACUCCGUGCCAGCAGCCGCGGUAAUACGGAGGAUCCGAGCGUUAUCCGGAUUUAUUGGGUUUAAAGGGAGCGUAGAUGGGUUGUUAAGUCAGUUGUGAAAGGUUGCGGCUCAACCGUAAAAUUGCAAUUGAUACUGGCAGUCUUGAGUACAGUUGAGGUAAGCGGAAUUCGUGGUGUAGCGGUGAAAUGCUUAGAUAUCACGAAGAACCCCGAUUGCGAAGGCAGCUUACUAAACUGUGACUGACAUUGAUGCUCGAAAGUGUGGGUAUCAAACAGGAUUAGAUACCCUUGUAGUC